rnacentral:rRNA from 1 species
AACUAACGCUGGCGGCGUGCCUAACACAUGCAAGUCGUACGAGAAAGUCGGCUUCGGCUGAUGAGUAAAGUGGCGCACGGGUGAGUAACGCGUGGAUAAUCUGCCUUUUAGUUGGGAAUAACGUACCGAAAGGUGCGCUAAUACCGGAUAAUACUGCAUAACUACUGUUGUGUAGUCAAAGAAGGCCUCUGUUUACAAGCUUUUGCUGAAAGAUGAGUCCGCGUACCAUUAGCUAGUUGGUAGGGUAAUGGCCUACCAAGGCUACGAUGGUUAGCUGGGCUGAGAGGAUGAUCAGCCACACUGGAACUGAGACACGGUCCAGACUCCUACGGGAGGCAGCAGUGAGGAAUAUUGCGCAAUGGGGGCAACCCUGACGCAGCAACGCCGCGUGAGUGAGGAAGGUUUUCGGACCGUAAAGCUCUGUCGAGCGGGAAGAAAUGUAUCGUGGCUAAUAUCCAUGAUAUUUGACGGUACCGCUAAAGGAAGCACCGGCUAACUCCGUGCCAGCCGCCGCGGUAA